rnacentral:rRNA from 1 species
GACGAACGCUGGCGGCGUGCUUAACACAUGCAAGUCGAACGGAAAGGCCCUGCUUUUGUGGGGUGCUCGAGUGGCGAACGGGUGAGUAACACGUGAGUAACCUGCCCUUGACUUUGGGAUAACUUCAGGAAACUGGGGCUAAUACCGGAUAGGAGCUCCUGCUGCAUGGUGGGGGUUGGAAAGUUUCGGCGGUUGGGGAUGGACUCGCGGCUUAUCAGCUUGUUGGUGGGGUAGUGGCUUACCAAGGCUUUGACGGGUAGCCGGCCUGAGAGGGUGACCGGCCACAUUGGGACUGAGAUACGGCCCAGACUCCUACGGGAGGCAGCAGUGGGGAAUAUUGCCCAAUGGGCGGAAGCCUGAUGCAGCAACGCCGCGUGCGGGAUGAAGGCCUUCGGGUUGUAAACCGCUUUCGCCUGUGACGAAGCGUGAGUGACGGUAAUGGGUAAAGAAGCACCGGCUAACUACGUG